CUGGUGGAUGGCUCGGCUCAGGCCGACGAAGGACGUGCCAAGCUGCGAUAAGCUGUGGGGAUCCGAACGGAGGCGAAGAACCACAGAUCCCGAAUGGGUAUCCUCUAACAAUUGCAUCGCGCAAUGAGGAACCCCGGGAACUGAAACAUCUCAGUACCGGGAGGAACAGAAAACGCACCUUGAUCUCGUUGACGGCGGUCGACCGCGAUAUAAAAAUAUCGGACAGAAUAUAUAUUCUGUAGUAUAUGUCUAUACUAUCUCAAUAUCGCUCCGGAGUCUCAAUAGAGCGUGAUACCGGAAGCCAACCCCGUAUGAAGGCAAUCCCGAGAUUGCUCCAGAGUAGCGGGGGUUGGAUAUCCCUCGUGAAUCUCGCAGGCAUCGACUGCGAAGACUAAACACUCCUCGAGACCGAUAGCGAACAAGUAGCGCGAGCGAACGCUGAAAAGCACCCCAGAAGGGCGGUGCAAUAGGGCCUGAAAUCAGUCAGUGAUAGAGCGACGGGGCAUACAAGGUCCUCGGAAAAACGACCGUGGGGCGACCCACCAGUAGGAAUCCGAGGAAGCCGGUGUUCCGUCGUACGUUUUGAAAAACGAACCAGGGAGUGCACUUACUUGGCGAGUCUAACUGGAUCAUCCAGGAAGGCGCAUGGAAACCGACAACGCCGCAGGCAUUGACCCGAGCGGUGAACUUCCGUCGAGUCCGCUUGCCCCGCCGACAUCCCCACGAGGAUUUGAGUGGGAGUAACGUGUAGAUAGAGGAAUGAGCCAGUCUGAUCGGUUCCGAUUCGAGUACAACCCUGCUGGUGCUACUACGGUGCCGGUUGCGUCGAUAGCCUUUCAGCCGAGCAACAGCUGGCUGGGAUCUGAAACAUGUCGAAGAUGACCUCCGCCAGGUAUCUGUGACGUAGAGCGACCGAGAGGAGUGCGCCUCACGAUGACGAGACGACGCACCCUCGUCGAUAGGCACCCUGUUAAAGACUGUCUCCGGUGCGCGGGGUUUCUGAGGGUGAGCGCUGGGGUAAGCCUGUGUACCAGGAGGGGAACAACCCAGAGAUAGGUUAAGGUCCCCAAGUGUGGAUUAAGUGUAAUCCUCUGAAGGUGGUCUAUAUCACACACUCUCCGAGUCGCCCUUAAAACACCUACACCACCAACGAUACAACGCACAAAAAGCCACUAACGGCGCUGUGCUAGCACCUCCUCAACUAGAGUUCACCUCAAACAGCAUCAGUACAGCCAGAGGACCCUAAACCCCUAGAGCGCAACCCACAGACCCACCGAGGACCUGUAAUGGUGCACGGAACGCUUCGUAGGUGAAGCGGCGAGAGCUCCUGUGGACCGAUUAGUGACGAAAAUCCUGGCCAUAGUAGCAGCGAUAGUCGGGUGAGAACCCCGACGGCCUAAUGGAUAAGGGUUCCUCAGCACUGCUGAUCAGCUGAGGGUUAGCCGGUCCUAAGUCUCACCGCAACUCGACUGAGACGAAAUGGGAAACAGGUUAAUAUUCCUGUGCCUUCACUUCUAGGUGUUCUUUUCUUUCGAUAUCCCACCCUGGUCUCGGAUUCUCCGGCGUUCGUCGUAUCCGACGAACGGCGAGCGAAGCGUGAGACAGCGCAAGUUGAAGGUACCUAGAGCCCGUGAAAAGCGAGCGUGAUGAUCGUACCGAGAUCCGACACAGGUACUCUGGCGGAGAAAGCCAAGGUCUGUCGGGAUCAACCGACGUUAGGGAAUUCGGCAAGUUAGUCCCGUAAGUUCGCGAUAAGGGAUGCCUGCUCUUGAACCGAGCAGGUCGCAGUGACUCGGAAGCUCCACUGUCUGAACAUAGCUGACCCCAACAUCCGCAAGGACUCUACGCGUCACUGAAACCUGAACACUGCAGGUAUCAGCAACACCUCGUACAAGAGGACGAAGCCCGACCUCGUAAACGGCCGGGCUAACGAUGACCCUCUAACGUAGCGUAGUACCUUGCCGCACAGUACGUAUUAUGGGUACGAUUUAGCGACCAAGAUUCCGGUGAGUUCACCAGCCGCUCCUGCGGGCGGUUGGAGCUUUACUGCACACAUUCCGCCGAUUUUCCCGAGAUACCCAGGGGGAAGCGAAGACCCUAUGGAGCUCUCGGAUCACGAUGACGUAUACGGAGCACUCACCGACACCGAGAAUGGACAGGUCAUUCGAAUUCGCAGUUGCGGUGUCCACGAAACAGUACAGAUACCGGCCGUCGGUGACUGCGUGUAUCACUACUCGAUGGCGGUAGACCGUUCCGUGGCAUAAUGACUGGGGCGGUACGCGCUCGAAAAGAAUAUUCAACACGUACGGUCAGCACGGAAGCGACCCGGCGACGACGUGCCGAGUCGUGCCGAACUUCCUCUCACAGGCCAUCUCGGGAGAUGACUUGACAGUCUACGGCGACGGAAAUUAGCGUCUGCUUCGGUGCGGGCAAUUGAUGACAGAAAAGCUACCCUAGGGAUAUCAGAGUCGUCACCGGCAAGAGCACAUAUCGACCCGGUGGCUUGCAACCUCGAUGUCGGUUCCCCGCUCUCGCAGUCGCUGCUCGGUGCAGAAGCAGGCAAGCGUCAAAGCCGUACACCUAGGUAAAGCGAGGUCAUAGAACUGGCAGUAGACCGUCGUGGGACAAAGUUCCGGUCUGACAAGAACGAAACUCGAAAGUAUCGUGUACCCACGUCUGACAAGAACGAUCGUACACUACGAGAGGAACUACGGUUGGUGGCCACUGGUGUACCGGUUGUUCGAUUGAGCACGUGCCGGGUAGCCACGCGACACGGGGUAAGAGCUGAACGCAUCUAAGCUCGAAACCCACCUGGAAAAGAAGUACCACCGAGGACACUCGUAGAAGACGAGUUCGAUAGACUCGGGAUGUA
rnacentral:rRNA from 1 species